rnacentral:pre_miRNA from 1 species
CGGGGCUGCCGCCGUCCCUGUCCUCCAGGAGCUCACCUGUCUCUGGCCGUGAGCCCCUCGAGGCCAGAGCCUGCGUCUGCCUCAGCACCAGC